UACGACGGGUGCAAGCGUUACUCGGAAUUACUGGGCGUAAAGCGUGCGUAGGUGGUGAGUUAAGUCUGUCGUGAAAGCCCCGGGCUCAACCUGGGAAUGGCGAUGGAUACUGGCUCGCUAGAGUGCGGUAGAGGGUGGUGGAAUUCCCGGUGUAGCAGUGAAAUGCGUAGAGAUCGGGAGGAACAUCAGUUGCGAAGGCGGCCACCUGGACCAGCACUGACACUGAGGCACGAAAGCGUGGGGAGCAAACAGG
rnacentral:rRNA from 1 species